rnacentral:rRNA from 1 species
GUGUCAGCAGCCGCGGUAAUACGGAGGGUGCAAGCGUUGUCCGGAUUUAUUGGGUUUAAAGGGUGCGUAGGCGGCUAUUUAAGUCAGUGGUGAAAUCCAGCAGCUCAACUGUUGAACUGCCAUUGAUACUGAAUAGCUUGAAUAUAGUUGAGGUAGGCGGAAUUGACGGUGUAGCGGUGAAAUGCAUAGAUAUCGUCAAGAACCCCGAUUGCGAAGGCAGCUUACUAAACUAUAAUUGACGCUGAGGCACGAAAGCGUGGGGAUCAAACAGGAUUAGAAACCCGCGUAGUCC